AAAGGUGAAAUUAAGUUAUUUUUAUUGAUCAGAAACUUAAAAUUGAAGCUAAAGACUAUUAGAGUUAAACUAGGAUUAGAUACCCUAUUAUACUAAUAAAUAUAGACUAGCCUGAACUACUAAUAGAUAUGGACUUUAAAUUUGAAGAAUUUGGCGGUGGUUUAAUCUUAUUAGAGGAAUCUGUUUUUGAAUCGAUAUGCCACGUGGGAUCUUACUUGAGCUUAUAUACCGUCAUUAUCAGAUAAUUUUUAGAGAAAUUAAUUAUUAAAAUUUAUUAAAGAGAUAAGAGAAAUUAGAUCAAGGUGUAGUUUAUGAACAAGUUAAAAUGGAUUACAAUAAAAUAUAUUUAUUACGGAGUAGGGGCUAUGAAGGAGGAUUUAAUUGUAUUAAAGUUUAGUAAGCUUUAAAGAUAUAAGCACUAAAUCAUGUACAUAUCGCCCGUCGCUCUC
rnacentral:rRNA from 1 species